GAUAUGUGAAUACAUAGCAUAUCAGAAGGCACACCCGGAGAACUGAAACAUCUUAGUACCCGGAGGAAGAGAAAGAAAAUUCGAUUCCCUUAGUAGCGGCGAGCGAAACGGGAAGAGCCCAAACCAACAAGCUUGCUUGUUGGGGUUGUAGGACACUCUAUACGGAGUUACAAAGGACGACAUUAGACGAAUCAUCUGGAAAGAUGAAUCAAAGAAGGUAAUAAUCCUGUAGUCGAAAAUGUUGUCUCUCUUGAGUGGAUCCUGAGUACGACGGAGCACGUGAAAUUCCGUCGGAAUCUGGGAGGACCAUCUCCUAAGGCUAAAUACUCUCUAGUGACCGAUAGUGAACCAGUACCGUGAGGGAAAGGUGAAAAGCACCCCGGAAGGGGAGUGAAAUAGAACCUGAAACCGUGUGCUUACAAGUAGUCAGAGCCCGUUAAUGGGUGAUGGCGUGCCUUUUGUAGAAUGAACCGGCGAGUUACGAUUUGAUGCAAGGUUAAGCAGUAAAUGUGGAGCCGUAGCGAAAGCGAGUCUGAAUAGGGCGUUUAGUAUUUGGUCGUAGACCCGAAACCAGGUGAUCUACCC
rnacentral:rRNA from 1 species